rnacentral:rRNA from 1 species
UACGUAGGGUGCGAGCGUUGUCCGGAAUUAUUGGGCGUAAAGGGCUCGUAGGCGGUUUGUCGCGUCGGGAGUGAAAUCCACUGGCUUAACUGGUGGCUUGCUUUCGAUACGGGCAGACUGGAGGUAUGCAGGGGAGAACGGAAUUCCUGGUGUAGCGGUGAAAUGCGCAGAUAUCAGGAGGAACACCCGUGGCGAAAGCGGCUCUCUGGGACGGUACUGACGCUGAGACGCGAAAGCGUGGGGAGCGAACAGG